rnacentral:misc_RNA from 1 species
GUGAGUCAUCGAAUCUUUGAACGCACCUUGCGCCCUUUGGCUAUUCCUUGGGGCAUGCCUGUUUGAGUAUCAUGAACACCUCAACUCUCACGGUUCGCCGUGAUGGGCUUGGACUCUGGGGGUUUGCUGGCUCGUGUGGUCGGCUCCCCUCAAAUACAUCAGCUCGCCAGCGUUCUGGUGGCAUCACGGGUGUGAUAACUAUCUACGCUCGCGCUUGCCUGCCGGGUAACCUUUGGCGACAAAGGUUCGUUGGGGCUUACAAACGUCUCUCCUUAGCGAAGACAGCCUUUGAACGUUCGAUCUCAAAUCAGGUAGGACUACCCGCUGAACUUAAGCAUAUCAAUAAGCGGAGGA